rnacentral:misc_RNA from 1 species
GUGAAUCAUCAAAUCUUUGAACGCAAAUUGCACUCUCCUCGGAGAGUACGCCUGUUUGAGGGUCAGCCUAUAAAAAAUCAACACCGUGCCUGUUUCGCGGUAACGUUCGUGGGAAAUUGGGUCAUCUUAAAUCCUUUUGUUUUUUAAGCUACUUAUAAUUUUCUGUUUGGUUCCAUGAACGUUUCUAAUAUUUAUUUCUUUACACGUUUAAGGUAUCUUUUUUUAUUAUACGUGACAUUCAG